rnacentral:snoRNA from 1 species
CCUUUGUAGACUUGAAUAUAAGUACACACAAUCCUUAUGAUACUAGUUGGCCUGUUAAACUAGGGCUUAAAACGUUUAAGCUGGGGUUCUGCCCGUGAUGUACAGUCCCUUUCCACAACGUUGGAGAGAAAGCCGGGCCUUGAGUCUGCGCCUGCAUAUUCCUACAACUUCUCAGUCCUGUGGGGAAUGACUGAGGAGACAAACAAACAAACAAACAAAA